rnacentral:lncRNA from 1 species
CAGAACUCCAGCCCUGCCGUCAGCCCUGAACCCCAGGUACACAGCAGCUGCUGGGCCUCUGGAAGCAGGGAGCCCCCAUACUCUGACAAACAUGCCCUUAACAAACCCACAGGGGCCAAUCCCAAGUUGUCUGCAGAAACCACAACAUAAUGUCAAAGUCACUCCUACUGUUAGAUUUUAUUUCAGAAGCAGUGUGAAGAGGCUACAUAGCUCGUGACAUGUUGCUUAGAACUCUCCUUUUCUCAGCCUCUGCACCCUGUUAUGUCUUUAGCUCAAAAACAGAAAAGCUCUCCCUGCUGUAGCCUGAGCACCACCCUCCUUCCAUCCCCUCCAUCAAGAAAGCUCCCCAAACCUGGCUUGACAAUUACUCAGCUCUCUUGGAGCGGGUAGUGGACGUGGAUGAAUGCAGUAGGGAAAGCCAGAAUCCUUUUGAGAAGGAAAGGGGAAAUGAGGCCAGCAUGGUGGCUCAUGCCUGUAAUCAUAGCCCUUUGGGAGGCUGAGGCGGGAGGAUCGCUUGAGGCCCAAAGUUUGAGGUUGAAGUGAGCUAUGACUGUGCCACUGUACUCCAGCCUGGGUGACAGAGUGAGACCCUAUCUCAAACAAACAAAAAACCCAACCACACCAAAAUAACAAUUAGCAAAACUUCAGUAAGGUCUAUAGAUUAUGGUAUUGUUGGUCAUUGCUAUUGUAUCAAUGUGAACUUUCCUGGUUCUGAUAAUUGUACAUAAUUGGUUAAGUAAUAGAACAUCCCUGAAGUAUUUAGGGAUAAAGGGGUAUUAGCUCUGUAAUUUGCUUCUAAUAGGUCAGAAAAAAAUGUGUGCAUACACGAUACAUGGACAUUACAAACAUUACAAGAUGAGUCUCUGUGAUUCCUGUACACACACACACAGAAUGACAAAGCAAUUGUGCAAUGUUAGCAGUUUAUGAAUCUGGGUGAAGGGUAAAUGGCAGUCCUUAUACUAUUGAUGAAACUUUAAUGGAAGCCUGGAAUCAUUUCAAAAUAAAACAUUUGGCUGUUGAAAUAAACUCAGAUGGGCUGACAAAAGUAGAAGGUAGGAUGAAACAUAUGAGAAGCAUAGUAACAAUUAUGGAAGAAACAUCUAGGGGACCUGAGAUUUGUUCUAGAAAGUUCUAGAAAGAGAAAAGGAAAAGAAAGAAAAAAGGGAAGAAACAAAAGAAAUAAUGGGAGAAAAUUUCCCAGGUCUAAGAAAAGAUCCCAUUAGUACUAAGAAACAGAAUGAAUAUAUUUAGAUAUGGCCAGUUUCAACUUCCAACAUCAAUAAUAAAAAGAAAAUUCUAUUUCUUGAAAAUAAGUUAACCUGUAUAACAUGUCACUUAUUAGAUCCACAUCAGACUUCUCACUGGUGACAAGGGAUGCUAGAAGAUCAUGGAGUAUCAUCUUCAGAGUUAGAUUCUAUCUCCAGCUGAACUCCUAGCCAAGUAUGAGGACAGGAUCAAGUAAUAAAAAUUGCUUUUGAAAUGUCUUGAUUAAAAUCCCUCCCACAGCAGUGUAGGUCUUUCAGUGGAGACUUCCAAUUUUUUAUGUUUUUCAACACUGACCUGCAUUUCAGUCAUACAGUAGAGCAACAGAUGUCAUCAUCUGGAUUCUAAACUGGCUUUUAAAAAUGGCUCUUCCAUUAAAGAAAAACAAGGGGGCCCAAUAUUUUCUUCACAUUGCUUGAAUAUAUAUAUAUAUAUGUGUGUGUGUGUGUGUGUAUAUAUAUAUAUAUAUUUUUUUUUCUUUUUUUUUUUUUGAGAGACGGAGUCUUGCUCUGUUGCCCAGCCUGGAAUGCAGUGGUGCGAUCUCAGCUCACUGCAACCUCCGCCUCCUGGGUUCAAGUGAUUCUCCUGCCUCAGCUUCCCAAGGAGCUGGGACUACAGGCGAGUACCACCACACCCAGCUAAUUUUUGUACCUUAGAGACAGGGUUUCACUAUAUGUUGGCCAGGCUGCUCCUGACCUCAGGUGGUCUGCCCGCCUCAGCCUCCCAGAGUGCUGGGAUUAGAGGCAUUAGCCACUGCACCCAGCCAAAAAUAUUUUCAAUAUAAACAUUCCAUAUUGAUUUUCACUUUGAGCUUCCUGCAUAAUGUUUAGAAUGUGAGCCAGGCAUGGUGGCAUGGUCCCAGCUACUCAGGAGGCUGAGGUGGGAGGAUGGCUUGAGAUCAGGAGUUUGAGGCUACAGUGCGUUAUGAUUAUGCCUGUGAACAGCCACUGCACACUAGCCUGGGUGACAGUGCAAGACUGUCUCUAAAAAAGACAAAAUUAGGAUAUAAGCACUGAGGUGGAUGUAGCGACAUUGAGAGAUAUGGAAUUGACUUAGAUUUCAUUUGAACAAAGACCAAGAAGCUGCUAAGAUUCAGAGGAGCAAUAGGUUGAUGGAAUAUGUGAAUUAACAAUUCCUAUGUCAAAAGGAGAUUAUGGGCUGGGCGCAGUGGCUCACGCCUAUAAUCCCAGCACUCUGGAAGGCCAAGGUGGGCAGAUCACCUGAGGUUGGGAGUUCGAGACCAGCCUGGCCCACAUGGUAAACCCCGUCUCUACUAAAAAUACAAAAUUAGCUGAGUGUGGUGGUGCACGCCUGUAAUCCCAACUUCUCAGGUGGCCUCUGCUCACUGCUGGCCACUUUCAGCGGUUUAUGUCCACCCAGUCAAGACUGUAUGCUCCAAGCGCUGAGCC